rnacentral:rRNA from 1 species
CCUACGGGGGGCAGCAGUGGGGAAUAUUGCACAAUGGGGGAAACCCUGACGCAGCGACGCCGCGUGAGUGAAGAAGGACUUCGGUAUGUAAAGCUCUAUUAGUAGGGAAGAACAUGACGGUACCUGAUUAAGAAGCUCUGGCCAACAACGUGCCAGCAGGCGCGGUAAUACGGAGGGCGCAAGCGUUAUCCGGAUUUACUGGGUGUAAAGGGAGCGUAGGGGGCUGCACAAGUCUGGAGUGAAAUGCCGGGGCUAAACCCCGGAACUGCUGUGGCAACUGUGCAGCUAGAGUGCAGGAGAGGUAAGUGGAAUGCCUGGUGUAGCGGUGAAAUGCGUAGAUAUUAGGAGGAACACCAGUGGCGAAGGCGACUUACUGGACUGUAACUGACGUUGAGGCUCGAAAGCGUGGGGAGCAAACAGGAUUAGAUACCCCUGUAGUC